UCUUCUAAAAAAUCCUCUAUUCUUUCUGAAAUUUUUCUUUCGUGUUCUUCGUUUUCUUUUUGGCCGGUGCCGGCGUUAAUCCGACGUCGGUACCGUGCUGUAAAUGCUUCUCGGAAAAUAAAUUCCGGCAAGUCCAGAUCUGUGUAAAAUAGUUUUGUUUUGUUUCUAGUUUUUCUGGCGUUUGUUCGGAUCUUUUGUUUCCGUUAUCGGAUAAUAAUUUCUGGCAAAAACCGGUACAAAAUUCCGACAUGAUCGGAUUUGUUUUGCCCUAUCUUCUCCGAUGUUUGGUUCCUCUUAUAAAUGAGGCGGUGCUUCAGAUCCAGUGGUGGGAGUUGUGAUUUCACUUCAUCAAAUGUUAAUAUCAUCCUCUCUUGACUGGAAGAUAGUUCUUCCCUAAAUCCCUAUGUUAGCCUUCAAGGUAAAGGGAUGGGUUUUGAGAUAAAGAUGGUCGGUGGUGGAGAAUAAUGAUGAAGUUAAUUUUUCAACAUCAACAAUCGCUGGAUUUUAAUGGAGAAAGAAUUUGGCAAAGGAGCAGCAGUUAAAAGGAGGAUGUGAAUCCGAUUGGAGUUUAUUCAGAAGACUUUUCGGAUAUCGGUUGUUAGGCGAAGCUCUGAACGGCGAUGAGAUCGGCGGCAUCUUCUCACCGGCAGUCAACAUUCAACCCAAGAGUUCCACGUGUAUUCCACGUGUUGUUUAAUACUCAAACCUUAUCUCAUAGGUUUUGGAUAUUAUUUGGGCUUAUUUUUGUAUCUUUGGCUUUUGUAAUUGCUGUAACUUGCCUUUGGGCUUUCGAUAUAAUCGAAUUGGACGACAACAAAA
rnacentral:lncRNA from 1 species